UACGUAGGGUGCGAGCGUUAAUCGGAAUUACUGGGCGUAAAGCGUGCGUAGGCGGUUCGUUAUGUCUGCUGUGAAAGCCCCGGGCUUAACCUGGGAAUGGCAGUGGAAACUGGCGGGCUUGAGUGCGGCAGGAGGGGGGUGGAAUUCCGCGUGUAGCAGUGAAAUGCGUAGAGAUGCGGAGGAACACCGAUGGCGAAGGCAGCCCCCUGGGCUGACACUGACGCUGAGGCACGAAAGCGUGGGGAGCAAACAGG
rnacentral:rRNA from 1 species